CCUACGGGAGGCUGCAGUGAGGAAUAUUGGUCAAUGGCCGGAAGGCUGAACCAGCCAAGUCGCGUGAGGGAAUAAGGCCCUAUGGGUCGUAAACCUCUUUUGUCAGGGAGCAAAGGCGUCCACGAGUGGACGAAAGGAGAGUACCUGAAGAAAAAGCAUCGGCUAACUCCGUGCCAGCAGCCGCGGUAAUACGGAGGAUGCGAGCGUUAUCCGGAUUUAUUGGGUUUAAAGGGUGCGUAGGCGGAGUGUCAAGUCAGCGGUAAAAUUUCGGGGCUCAACCCCGUCGUGCCGUUGAAACUGACACCCUUGAGUGAGUGAGAAGUAAGCGGAAUGCGUGGUGUAGCGGUGAAAUGCAUAGAUAUCACGCAGAACGCCGAUUGCGAAGGCAGCCUACUAAACUGCCACUGACAUUGAUGUUCGAAAGUGUGGGUAUCAAACAGGAUUAGAUACCCCGGUAGUC
rnacentral:rRNA from 1 species